ensembl:snRNA U6 U6 spliceosomal RNA
GUGCUUGCUCCGGCAGCUUGUAUACUAAGAUUGGAGUGGUACAGAAAAGAUUAGCAUGGCUCCUGCUCAAGGAUGACACAUUUGUGAAAGAUUCCAUAUUUUU